rnacentral:rRNA from 1 species
AUGAACGCUAGCGACAGGCUUAACACAUGCAAGUCGAGGGGCAGCACAGGUAGCAAUACCGGGUGGCGACCGGCGCACGGGUGAGUAACGCGUAUGCAACUUACCUAUCAGAGGGGGAUAACCCGGCGAAAGUCGGACUAAUACCGCAUGAAGCAGGGGCCCCGCAUGGGGAUAUUUGCUAAAGAUUCAUCGCUGAUAGAUAGGCAUGCGUUCCAUUAGGCAGUUGGCGGGGUAACGGCCCACCAAACCGACGAUGGAUAGGGGUUCUGAGAGGAAGGUCCCCCACAUUGGUACUGAGACACGGACCAAACUCCUACGGGAGGCAGCAGUGAGGAAUAUUGGUCAAUGGGCGCGAGCCUGAACCAGCCAAGUCGCGUGAGGGAUGAAGGUUCUAUGGAUCGUAAACCUCUUUUAUAAGGGAAUAAAGUGCGGGACGUGUCCCGUUUUGUAUGUACCUUAUGAAUAAGGAUCGGCUAACUCCGUGCCAGCAGCCGCGGUAAUACGGAGGAUCCGAGCGUUAUCCGGAUUUAUUGGGUUUAAAGGGUGCGUAGGCGGCCUUUUAAGUCAGCGGUGAAAGUCUGUGGCUCAACCAUAGAAUUGCCGUUGAAACUGGGGGGCUUGAGUAUGUUUGAGGCAGGCGGAAUGCGUGGUGUAGCGGUGAAAUGCUUAGAUAUCACGCAGAACCCCGAUUGCGAAGGCAGCCUGCCAAGCCAUGACUGACGCUGAUGCACGAAAGCGUGGGGAUCAAACAGGAUUAGAUACCCUGGUAGUCCACGCAGUAAACGAUGAUCACUAGCUGUUUGCGAUACAGUGUAAGCGGCACAGCGAAAGCGUUAAGUGAUCCACCUGGGGAGUACGCCGGCAACGGUGAAACUCAAAGGAAUUGACGGGGGCCCGCACAAGCGGAGGAACAUGUGGUUUAAUUCGAUGAUACGCGAGGAACCUUACCCGGGUUUGAACGCAUUCGGACCGAGGUGGAAACACCUUUUCUAGCAAUAGCCGUUUGCGAGGUGCUGCAUGGUUGUCGUCAGCUCGUGCCGUGAGGUGUCGGCUUAAGUGCCAUAACGAGCGCAACCCUUGCCACUAGUUACUAACAGGUAAAGCUGAGGACUCUGGUGGGACUGCCAGCGUAAGCUGCGAGGAAGGCGGGGAUGACGUCAAAUCAGCACGGCCCUUACAUCCGGGGCGACACACGUGUUACAAUGGCGUGGACAAAGGGAAGCCACCUGGCGACAGGGAGCGAAUCCCCAAACCACGUCUCAGUUCGGAUCGGAGUCUGCAACCCGACUCCGUGAAGCUGGAUUCGCUAGUAAUCGCGCAUCAGCCAUGGCGCGGUGAAUACGUUCCCGGGCCUUGUACACACCGCCCGUCAAGCCAUGGGAGCCGGGGGUACCUGAAGUCCGUAACCGCGAGGAUCGGCCUAGGGUAAAACUGGUGACUGGGGCU